rnacentral:rRNA from 1 species
UUGGUCAAGCGAACAAGGGUCCAUGGUGGAUGCCUUGGCGCCGAGCGGCGAUGAAGGACGUGACUACCUGCGAUAAGCUUCGGGGAGCCGGUAAGUAGGCUUUGAUCCGGAGAUUUCCGAAUGGGGGAACCCGGCCGUUUUUUUGACGGUCAUCCCUGCCUGAAUUCAUAGGGCAGAGGAGGCGAACGCGGGGAAUUGAAACAUCUUAGUACCCGCAGGAAGAGAAAUCAAACGAGAUUCCCUGAGUAGUGGCGAGCGAAACGGGAAGAGCCCAAACCGGUGGGCUUGCUCACCGGGGUUGUGGGACCGCGAUGUGGUACGUGGAUGGUUAGCAGAACAGUCUGGAAAGUCUGGCCAUAGUGGGUGAUAGCCCCGUAUGCGAAAACCUGAAGCGGCCUAGCGGUAUCCCGAGUAGGACGGGACACGUGAAACCCUGUCUGAAUCUGGGGGGACCACCCUCCAAGGCUAAAUACGUCUCGGCGACCGAUAGUGAACCAGUACCGUGAGGGAAAGGUGAAAAGCACCCCGGUGAGGGGAGUGAAAUAG